rnacentral:rRNA from 1 species
UACAGAGGUCUCGAGCGUUGUUCGGAUUCAUUGGGCGUAAAGGGCGCGUAGGCGGCGGGGUAAGUCUGGUGUGAAAUCUAGGAGCUCAACUCCUAAACUGCACUGGAUACUGCUCUGCUAGAGGACUGGAGAGGAGACUGGAAUUCACGGUGUAGCAGUGAAAUGCGUAGAUAUCGUGAGGAAGACCAGUGGCGAAGGCGGGUCUCUGGACAGUUCCGUGACGCUGAGGCACGAAGGCCAGGGGAGCAA